rnacentral:rRNA from 1 species
ACGCUCGACACCUACUGGAGGCAGCAGUGGGGAAUAUUGCACAAUGGGGGAAACCCUGAUGCAGCAACGCCGCGUGAGUGAAGAAGUAUUUCGGUAUGUAAAGCUCUAUCAGCAGGGAAGAUAAUGACGGUACCUGACUAAGAAGCUCCGGCUAAAUACGCGCCAGCAGCCGCGGUAAUCUGAGCGGGCUGGCAAGGC